CCUACGGGAGGCAGCAGUGAGGAAUAUUGGUCAAUGGCCGUAAGUCUGAACCAGCCAUGCCGCGUGCAGGAAGACGGCUCUAUGAUUUGUAAACUUCUUUUUUACGAGAGUAAACGCAUAUACGCGUAUCUGUCUGAAUGUAUCGUACGAAUAAGCAUCGGCUAACUCCGUGCCAGCAGCCGCGGUAAUACGGAGGAUUCGAGCGUUAUCCGGAUUUAUUGGGUUUAAAGGGUGCGUAGGCGGUCGUAUAAGUUAGGGGUGAAAGUCCGAGGCUCAACCUCGGAAUUGCCUCUGAUACUGUUCGGCUAGAGAGUAGUUGCGGUAGGCGGAAUGUAUGGUGUAGCGGUGAAAUGCUUAGAGAUCAGACAGAACACCGAUUGCGAAGGCAGCUUACCAAGCCACUUCUGACGUUGAGGCACGAAAGCGUGGGGAGCAAACAGGAUUAGAUACCCGAGUAGUC
rnacentral:rRNA from 1 species